rnacentral:lncRNA from 1 species
UAGAGAGGUUAUUUGGGCCAAGUUUGAAGAUUGCAACCCGGGAGCAUAGCUUCAAGUUGCCCUGAACAUAGGAUUUGCAACAGUGACAAAGGUGAGGCCAGAGAAGUGACAAGACAGAUGCCAGUCCAGCAGGUGGGCAUGUCCAGAAAGUGCAGCCUCAGGACACGGUCUGGGAACAAAGACUGCUGGAGAGUUGGAAGCUGGCAAGAGGCUCUCAGCUGUGAAGUACCUGGGGUGGGGGAGAAGUGGUCGGAGAAAGCAGAGAACACAAUUGAAGGCACUGGUUAUUCUAGCAAGGCUUUGACUGGAAUGGCAUAUUUUCAGAUAUGACCAGACUGCUCUGAGGAAUUCAGGUUGGCUUUAUAGAGUCAAUAAAAAGCUACCUGGAAAGAGUGGCCAUGUACCUUAUCUAUACAGUUCCCUUACAAGGUUCCUGAUCUUGAGACAUUUGGCUUCACUUGAACCUGUGUUUGAAGCUUUAGUGAACAUUGUCUUUGGGAGUAAGAAGUACUAGAAAAUUUAUGUUCAUCUGCAUCUUGUCACUGGGACAUGAGCAUAGGUGGUCUACCUUCAGUUUGGUCUGUGAACAGGAGGAUUACUUGAGCUCAGGAGUUCUAGUCCAGCCUGGGCAACAGAGCAAGACCCUGUCUCAAAAAGAAAGAAAGAAAUGAGGAUAUGAGUUUGCUGCUCUUUAAAUCGAUGACUUUGCAGCUCUUCAUCUGAAGAGGUGGCGUCUGUUUCUCCUGUUUGAGUGUGGCACAUCCAGGAGAGUGGCUUUGAGCAGUGGUGUGGCAGACGUGACUGUAGGCCAGCCCUGAGCUGAGGCUGCCAGGGGACUGCACACUUCUUCUCUCAGCUCUGCCAGCUGCUGCACUGUGUCUGGGCCAGCCCGCUGGAGCACAGAGUUCAGUGCAUUGGGACAGCUACAGCCCAUUGCAUCGGGACAGCCCACAGCAACAAGACCCACCUGUCGCCACUGCAGGUGCGUGAGGGUGCCCGGCUGAGAGCAGACAAACCGCCUAGCAGGUGGCUUUUCAAGCGGAAUCACAGACUAGCUCCAUCGCUGUGGUGAACGUUCUCCCCAGUGCCAGGAUUCCACUUGGCCCCUGACUGCUUGAGCAGCCGAUGUGACAGCCAUCUCUCUGCUGCCGUGCAUGUCGGCUGGGCUGGAGCCAGUGCAUCAGGAAGUAGACGCAGAAGUGGAUCAGGAGCAAAACAUUCCUGAGAGCUGGCAGAAGCUGGCGUCUGGAGCCGCUGGGAUGCGGGUCUCAUGGAACAAGGAAAUCAAAAAAACACCCGCCCGUGCACAAAUGGAUUUCCUGAACCCUUCUGUGCGCCAGUCCUUGGGGACGCAAAUGUGAAUGAGGCGGCGCUCUGUUGAAUUUCCGUGCCCAAACUCACCAACGUGCACAGAUACUGAUGUGGGAACACCCGCUAUAAGGUGGCCUGGAGCAGUGAAGACCCUGCUCUCUUGUGAACUCCCGCAACCAUGGCCAGCCCCCUGGGGCUCCCAGACCUUGGCAAUCAGCCCUUGUGGUUUUUAAAAAAUUUAUUUUUAUUUUUAUUUUUAGAGGCAGGGUCUCAUUAUGUCACCCA